CUGCAACUAAGUUAAGUUGAUUCAUCUAGCCUUCCUUCCUGAUGAGUUCUCACUUUGCAGCAGCUGCAAAAAGCCAGCUUCCCCAGCUGUGUAUGCAGCUCAUUUCUUGUUUGUGUUGCCCUAAGGGACCCUGAAGACAUCA
rnacentral:snoRNA from 1 species